CCGCCGCGCUUAGCUCCAAACGACGCCACAAAUUGAGCCCUCUGCGAAGACCAAAGCGAAAAAAGGAAAGUUCAGAAGAGGAGUGUGUUUACACGGCAACGCCACACCUCCCCUGACAUUUCGCCAGCGCGUCUGCGACGCCUCGCCUAAUGAGGCCUCGGCUCUCCCUCGUGUGGCAAAACUAACAAUUAGCGCCGCUGCCGUCACCGUGUCGGUUUCAUACUCGGGCGAUCACGUCAGCGCGAGACGACGCCAUGGCAACAGCAGACAGUUUUAGCGUACCGCUCCUACCCCGGGCCCAGAUUAUUGAGUAAAUACAGGCGGGUUCAUCAGCGCGGAUCUGUAAUGUCGGUCUGUGUCAUUCUUUGAGUUGCCAAUUACACGUUAAAUCCACUCCCAUGCCCGUCAUUCAGGAACUGAGCUCACACGGAGGAGGUCUGGGCAUCCUGGUUGGAACUGAAUGACCCGGAAGAAUCUUUCGGAGCUGAUUGUCACAAAAGAGCCGCGAUGAAAAGAACAAGAAACUAAAGGACCUUCACCCUGAGGAGCCGUGCGGCGUUACGUCCCCUCAAGAUUGGAAAUCUGGAUGAUUUAUAGACGAUAAGUGAACAUAGUUUUGUUCAAAGAGAUGAUCUAUGUAAUAAUUCAGUGGAGAUGGCACUGUCAGCCACAAAGUGAUCCCUGGCGUGAUUGGCUCGUUCUGUAACUGCGGGGACAGAUGACGUCGUCAAUUCCGAUUAGCGCCGUGACAGGGAACGGCGCAAUCGCCGGCAGCUGUAAGGCGGCACUCGAGCGGAAAAGGUCAGAAUGACACCGCGGAAUAUACGUUCCGAGGAAGUGACUUUUACCGAGGGGAGCCCACUGCACCGGGAGCUGGCUCAGGACGCGGUUGUGGUCCUGCCUUUUGACGUACCUGUUGGGGAAGUGUUGCUAGAAGUUCUCUUCCAGUUCUUCCCAAUGUCCUUCCACACCAGGAAAUCCCGAUAAAGCGUCACCGUGAUCUGCCCGUGCUUGUGGUGAAGGUCUGACAGCAACACGAU